CAUCUCCAGCUGCUAGUGGCACAAUCCCCUCGCUGCUCCUGCUGGUCCUCUUCUACCUCUACACACGUGAGGCGUGUGACGCUGCUGCAUAGAUGCCUUGCUCCUCUCCACCACCUGCUCCCCUCCGCUUUUCCCCACCAAAUCGAGCAACUUAGCAAACCCUAGCCUCUUUCCUCUGCGCCGCCGCCGUCUCCCUUCUUCCUCUUCUCCACGCAAAACAGUAGGCGGAGAUGAUUUCAGAAAUUCAGAGAUAUCACCGUCAGAGUCUGCCUCCUCUUCCUCGCCUUCGACCGUCCCCAAGCUCGCCGUCGACUCCAUUCGAUCGUGCUCCGAACGUCUUCGAGUUCGGCAAGCCCAGGCAUGCCUCUGGUUCCUCCGCGCAUCCGCGCUGCUAGUCGCCAAUGACCGCAUCGCCCUGCAUCGCCCUCGUCCUGGCUCGUCCAGCCGUCGAGUCCGUCUCCGACCACCGCGUCUGCCACGGGGAUCUCCAUCAGUUUCGUCAGUUCGCCUGUGGCCGUCCGUGACGUUGUUUCAGCGCUUCCUCCAGCUUCCCGAGCACUUCUCUGCCCUCUCGCAUUUGCUUCUUCCCGGAUAGGAUCGCGAAGUGGUGUUGUGAGAUACGACAAGUUCUCCGGAUGUUCCUCGGCAAGCUUUAACAGGCAAG